UUGAACGCUGGCGGCAGGCCUAACACAUGCAAGUCGAGCGGUAGCACAGAGAGCUUGCUCUCGGGUGACGAGCGGCGGACGGGUGAGUAAUGUCUGGGAAACUGCCUGAUGGAGGGGGAUAACUACUGGAAACGGUAGCUAAUACCGCAUAAUGUCGCAAGACCAAAGUGGGGGACCUUCGGGCCUCAUGCCAUCAGAUGUGCCCAGAUGGGAUUAGCUAGUAGGUGGGGUAACGGCUCACCUAGGCGACGAUCCCUAGCUGGUCUGAGAGGAUGACCAGCCACACUGGAACUGAGACACGGUCCAGACUCCUACGGGAGGCAGCAGUGGGGAAUAUUGCACAAUGGGCGCAAGCCUGAUGCAGCCAUGCCGCGUGUGUGAAGAAGGCCUUCGGGUUGUAAAGCACUUUCAGCGGGGAGGAAGGCGAUAAGGUUAAUAACCUUGUCGAUUGACGUUACCCGCAGAAGAAGCACCGGCUAACUCCGUGCCAGCAGCCGCGGUAAUACGGAGGGUGCAAGCGUUAAUCGGAAUUACUGGGCGUAAAGCGCACGCAGGCGGUCUGUCAAGUCGGAUGUGAAAUCCCCGGGCUCAACCUGGGAACUGCAUUCGAAACUGGCAGGCUAGAGUCUUGUAGAGGGGGGUAGAAUUCCAGGUGUAGCGGUGAAAUGCGUAGAGAUCUGGAGGAAUACCGGUGGCGAAGGCGGCCCCCUGGACAAAGACUGACGCUCAGGUGCGAAAGCGUGGGGAGCAAACAGGAUUAGAUACCCUGGUAGUCCACGCCGUAAACGAUGUCGAUUUGGAGGUUGUGCCCUUGAGGCGUGGCUUCCGGAGCUAACGCGUUAAAUCGACCGCCUGGGGAGUACGGCCGCAAGGUUAAAACUCAAAUGAAUUGACGGGGGCCCGCACAAGCGGUGGAGCAUGUGGUUUAAUUCGAUGCAACGCGAAGAACCUUACCUGGUCUUGACAUCCACAGAACUUUCCAGAGAUGGAUUGGUGCCUUCGGGAACUGUGAGACAGGUGCUGCAUGGCUGUCGUCAGCUCGUGUUGUGAAAUGUUGGGUUAAGUCCCGCAACGAGCGCAACCCUUAUCCUUUGUUGCCAGCGGUUAGGCCGGGAACUCAAAGGAGACUGCCAGUGAUAAACUGGAGGAAGGUGGGGAUGACGUCAAGUCAUCAUGGCCCUUACGACCAGGGCUACACACGUGCUACAAUGGCAUAUACAAAGAGAAGCGACCUCGCGAGAGCAAGCGGACCUCAUAAAGUAUGUCGUAGUCCGGAUUGGAGUCUGCAACUCGACUCCAUGAAGUCGGAAUCGCUAGUAAUCGUAGAUCAGAAUGCUACGGUGAAUACGUUCCCGGGCCUUGUACACACCGCCCGUCACACCAUGGGAGUGGGUUGCAAAAGAAGUAGGUGGCUUAACCUUCGGGAGGGCGCUUACCACUUUGUGAUUCAUGACUGGGGUG
rnacentral:rRNA from 1 species